CGAAACUGCGAAUGGCUCAUUAAAACAGUUAUAAUUUAUUUGAUGAUUUUUUUACAUGGAUAACCGUGGGAAACUAGGGCUAAUACAUGCAUAAGACCUUUUUAGGUUGUAUUUAUUAGUUUUAAACCAAUAUGGUCUUUCAUAUUGUGAGGAAUCAUAAUAACUGAUCGAAGCGCAGUAACAUGCGCUACAUCAUAUAAGUUUCUGCCCUAUCAGCUUGAUGGUAGUGUAUUGGACUACCACGGCGGUCACGGGUAGCGGGGAAUUAGGGUUCGAUUCCGGAGAGGGAGCCUGAGAAACGGCUACCAUUUCUACGGAAGGCAGCAGGCGCGUAAAUUACCCAAUCCCGACUCAGGGAGGUAGUUAAUAGACAUAACA
rnacentral:rRNA from 1 species